rnacentral:lncRNA from 1 species
GUAUUGUGGAUGCUCCAGAGACAGCGACAGUGACCUCAGUGGACACCAGAGCAUGUGGAGGGACCAGCAGGGGCACAGAGGGAGGGACAGCUCCUUGUUUGAGUGCUGCAACUGGGAAAGCAAAACCUGUCUGCUCAUGUGAGUGUGAGGGAACAGAAGAACUGAGGCAUGGCUGUGAAUUCAAAAGUGAGGUGAACUUGCGGGACAGCUUUUGGAACAAAACCUCCUGCGGUGGCUGAAGUGCCAGCCCACUCUUGAGAACAGAACUCUCUUUCUCUGUGCCUCACUCGGACUCCUCUCCGGGCAAGAGAUCCAGCCCUCUGUGCACAGCCCGGCUUCCUCUUGAAGGAGGAGCAGCCCCUUCAAAACCGAGCUGUGUGGCCGGGCUGUGCCCCCGCCGCGCUCCUGCACGGCCCCCGCUGCGGCCCCGCGCUGCCGGCCCUGCCUGCCCCGGGUCAGGAUGGCCCAGCUAUGAACAGUCUCACAGCCCUGUAAAAAUACCUGAGCGAUGAUGUGCACUGUGGAGGGGACUUCUCCUGAAUUUGGUUGGCAUCCAGCAAGGACACUGUGACCCUGGGAGCUGCAGUGUGGCACUGCGUGUAUUUGACAAGCUGAGUCCGACACUCAGUGUGCAGAGUGUCAGUUUGUCAAAUACCCCAAGUGAGGCACUGCUGAGCAACGUGACGCUGAGGGUCCAGCCCUUCCCUCCUGCUCUGGCAGGAGUCUUCCUCUCCAGGCUCGGCACCUCUCCAAAAACCCACCGAGGCCAUGGAGUCCAUUGCCCCUCCUGGGAGCUUUGCUGUUUGGAGAAGACUUUUUGUCUUUGGAUGGUUAUUCCUAGUCAGCACUUGCAGCAAGGUUGCCUAUUCUGCUAUUUAAUUAAAGUAAUUCCCUCUAAAUUGUCCCACUUGAAGAUGUAAUGAUUGAUAAGUGUUUUCAGUAACUAACUUGUAGUAUUUCAGAUAUGUCAGGGUAGGGGAAUGUCAGGGAAUAUCCAGCCCAGUUUGACAAAUCAGACUCUGAAAGCAUUUGACAUGGAAAAUUCAAAAAUAAAAAAAAAUUCCAAGACCCUACUGACUAGUUU